GAUCCGGGCUCAGGAUGAACGCUGGCGGCGUGCCUAACACAUGCAAGUCGAACGGAGCUGCUUUGAUGAAGUUUUCGGAUGGAUUUAAAGCAGCUUAGUGGCGGACGGGUGAGUAACGCGUGGGUAACCUGCCUCACACUGGGGGAUAACAGUUAGAAAUAGCUGCUAAUACCGCAUAAGCGCACGGUUCCGCAUGGAACAGUGUGAAAAACUCCGGUGGUGUGAGAUGGACCCGCGU
rnacentral:rRNA from 1 species